UUAACUGUAAGUUGAACCCUAAAAAGUUCUAAAAGCACAAAGGUCUGGUCCUAGCCUUAUUAUCAGUUAUCUCUUAAUUUACACAUGCAAGUCUCAGCACCCCUGUGAGGAAGCCCUUAAACCCUUAUCCAGGACAAGGAGCCGGUAUCAGGCUCAAACUACUGCCCAUGACACCUAGUCUCACCACACCCCCAAGGGUAUUCAGCAGUGAUAAACAUUAUUUAUAAGCGACAGCUUGACUCAGUUAAAGAGAAGAAAGUCGGCCAACUCGGUGCCAGCCGCCGCGGCUAUACCCCAUGGACUUAGAUUGAUAAUCAUCGGCGUUAAGCGUGAUUAAAGUAUACUAAAAAUUAGAGUAAAACCCUUUGCCCAGCUGUGAAAAGCAUGCACUGUUGAAUAUCAUGAACGAAAGUCACUCUAACCUCCCCACUUGAACACACUAUAGCUAGGAGCACAAACUGG
rnacentral:rRNA from 1 species